CAGCAGUGAGGAAGGCGGGUACGUUAAUAGCGUGCUUGUUUGACGUUAGCUGCAGAAGAAGCACCGGCUAACUCCGUGCCAGCAGCCGACGGUAAGUAACGGGAGGGUGCGAGUACGUUUAAGUACGGAAUUUACGUGGGACGUAAAGCGCAUGCAGGUGGUUUGUUAAGUCAGAUGUAGAAACGGCCCCGGGGCUACAACCGUACGGUAAUUGCUAUUUAGAAACGUGGCAGACUAGAGUACUGUAGAGGGGGUAGAAUUUCAGGUGUAGCGGUGAAAAUGCGUAGAGAUCUGAAGGAAUACCGGUGGCGAAGGCGGCCCCCUGGACAGAUACUGACACUCAGAUGCGAAAGCGUGGGGAGCAAACAGGAUUAGAUACCCUGGUAG
rnacentral:rRNA from 1 species